rnacentral:rRNA from 1 species
UACGAAGGGGGCUAGCGUUGUUCGGAAUUACUGGGCGUAAAGCGUGCGCAGGCGGCUUCUCAAGUCAGGGGUGAAAGCCCAGAGCUCAACUCUGGAAUUGCCUUUGAGACUGAGUGGCUUGAGUACGAGAGAGGUGAGUGGAAUUCCCAGUGUAGAGGUGAAAUUCGUAGAUAUUGGGAAGAACACCGGUGGCGAAGGCGGCUCACUGGCUCGUAACUGACGCUGAGGCACGAAAGCGUGGGGAUCAAACAGG